UACGUAGGCAGCGAGCGUUGUUCGGAGUUACUGGGCGUAAAGAGUGCGUAGGCGGUGUUCCAAGUCUGUUUGUGAAAUCUCCCGGCUCAACUGGGAGGGUGCGGCGGAAACUGGGACGCUGGAGUACGGGAGAGGUAAGCGGAAUUCCUGGUGUAGCGGUGAAAUGCGUAGAUAUCAGGAGGAACACCUGCGGUGUAGACGGCUUUACUG
rnacentral:rRNA from 1 species